rnacentral:rRNA from 1 species
UACGUAGGGGGCUAGCGUUGUCCGGAAUCAUUGGGCGUAAAGCGCGCGUAGGCGGCCAGAUAAGUCCGGUGUGAAAGUCACAGGCUCAACCUGUGAAUGCCGCUGGAAACUGUCUGGCUAGAGUCCGGAAGGGGCGAGUGGAAUUCCUGGUGUAGCGGUGAAAUGCGCAGAUAUCAGGAAGAACACCAAUGGCGAAGGCAGCUCUCUGGGACGGUACUGACGCUGAGACGCGAAAGCGUGGGGAGCGAACAGG